GCCAUGGAAGGGGACAGAAGAGAGGGGAGGUGGUGGUUGGGACCUCAGGGUUACAUUCCUGAAGUGCAACCAACCUGGUGUAGCUCCUCUGCCCCAAUGUAAACACAGCAUGCAUGGAAAGGACCACCGGAAGUCUGUACGAGUCGCUCGGAGAAAGACGAAUGAGGAACAGUAUAAGAAGCUAAACCAUGACAGUUACUUCAAGAUUGUUCAUGCUGCUAGCACGUCUGGACUCGUUGAAAAUGAAUGGAUCACUUGUCGGUGCCAUAGCUACACCUAGUGGCCAUAGAAGAUAAUGCAGAACCAAUGCAAGCCCCAGCAUGGAGAAGAUUCCAAUUCCAAUCCCAAUCCCGAGCCCAAUCGGAAUGGAAAUGUUAGGAGGAUCCUUUGGAACACCUUUGGAUGAGAAAAUGUCACUGUGGUAAAAAGUCAUUUUUGGAGUCAGGCCAGGAACAAGUUGAAGGAUGAAGUGCUGGAAGUGUUGUACAGCCAGGUGUCCGGAUCGCGCUCUUCACUGACAUUCAGAACCUUCCACCAUUGGCUGCUGUUGUGAUCAACAUCAUUCCACGUCAGAUUGGCGAGUGGAUAACCUCCGUGUGAGGCACACGUCACCAAGCAGAUGUUGUCAUCGCAGGACAUGGGCAAGAAAUCGUCACAUUCUCACCAAUCUCCCUUGUGAGCUGAAUCAGAGCAGUGCUUCCUGGAAGAGAAGCAAAAGAUCAUUGAGUGCUGGACUUCUCUUUUUCCAACUGUGAGGGGGUGUGAAGAUCAUGAUGCAGUAAAUGUCUCAUUUCCUCUCACAACUUGGCGGUUCUUUAUCCCCUUUACACUUGUUCCGAGUUCCUCUACCAUACAGUCGUCCUUUGCCUUUCUUCCAAAUCUAGUUAAUGUAGCCUUUUAACGCAUACGAUAUUGAUGGAAGUCUAUUCUAUUCUACUUAUUUUCAGUCGCAUAUUUACAAACCCUAUUGUACAUCUUGAGGAAACGAUCAGUGCGGACCACAAUGAGGUGUUUGUGACUUUUUUAACCACAUAUUUAUUUGUGGCUUGACAGUUGUUCAUUUAUGACCACAAUCAUAACUCCUUCCCUGUUACUAACGAGUCGACGAGUCUUUAAGUAGCUGUACUGUAGAGUUUCCAUGUGUCUGCAUUUCUGUAGUUUCCAAUUGUCAUAGGUGUACGAGAAUAAAAAUGAAAAACAUUAUUAAUGUGCCUGAAUGCCUCACGGUGCCUGCACAAAGCGGACAGCAGAAGGGAGACAGAGCAUGAAACAUGAUUGUUCUAUGUGUAUUUAUAUGAAGCACAUAAUAAUUUUGAUUAAUUCAUUUAUAUUGGACAAUUAGGUGUUUUUGAAUUUUUGGAAUCAGGAUUAUCAUGUUUGUUAAAUAUUCCCCUCUUCAAUUUGGUAUCAAAUUAAUAUGCAGACUUAAAUCAUGGUGAGUGGACAAAAAAAAAAAGUGCUCAAAUUCAAACCAUUCAAACAAAAGGAUCCCAACAUCAACCUGGAAUAAAAUAUAUGUAGAAUAAUUACUUAUCUAUUUAUCAGUGCUCAUGUGAGACUUUAUCAAAAUGUGACCGUGUCAAAUAA